ensembl:lncRNA
AUGAAAACAGUUUUCAGCGUCCAUCCAGCUGGAACCAGCAAACACGGCACAGGCGGACUCACUCUUGAUAGCCAGGUGUUCCUGGAUCAGCUGGAGGUACUGCUCUGUGCUCAGCAGGGGGGGCAGUCCUCCUAUCAGGAGGUUCACGUUCACGGCCAGGUUCUGGUUCUCCACCAGGUAGAACCUGGUCUGAUUCAUCUGCCGAAGCGACACCUGGAGGAGGAAAGCAGCGGCGUUAGGAGGAGACGUCGGUUGAAGGGCUUUCUCUGGAGACCUUCUGACCUUUCUGAUGUCCCGCAGUUUCUCCAGGAUGUUCUCCUCCGACAUCAGCGUCUGUUUCUGCACUGCAGACAGAGAGAAGCUGUGAGAGACGCUCCUCUGCUGCCUGAGCUUCAGCUGCUCCUCCAUCCUCCUCCUCCUCUGCUCCCUGAGCUUCAGCUGCUCCUCCAUCCUCCUCCUCUGCUCCUCCUUACCUUGUUUCCCACCCAUGAAGACCUCCAGCAGACGGAACCGUGAGACCUCUUCAGCCUGAACAACAAAAACAAAUACAACUGAUUUUAGGAAUGUUCAGUGUUGUCCAAACUAGAAAACAUUGAAAACUCUUCAGAAUUUUCCAGGCUGUGAAAGUUCACUUCUACCUGUUUGUCCAGCUGGAACAGGACCUCCCCGAUGACGGACGCCACCGUGCUCCGCACUGAGACGCAGACGCUUACGUGCGCCUCUCUCACUCUGAGACACACAAGGAUGGACCGCCGGGACGGUCAAAGUAAAAGAAAUGCAAAUGCAGUGGGGCAAAGAGGAAUCUGUCAGUCAUUCUGCAGAGUUUGGUCUGAAAUGUUCAUCAUAGAAAUAUUUCAGCUGCCAGACAGAAUGUAAAAGAAGAUUCUAGAAAAUCCAUUUUUUUGUUUUUAAAGAACUCAAUUGUAUUAUGGAGCAAAAAAUAAGAUUUAUCUCCAACAAAAAAAUCAAGAAAUCUGUUCCUUAAAACCUGUUUCUCCUUCUUUAAGAAGCUCUUCUGUCCUCCAAUCCUUACCUGUGUUAAUUUUACCAGUUUGAACUGGUUACCUGUAUAAAAGACACCAAUCUACAACUACAAACAAACUACAACCAUGAUCAAGACCAAAGAGCUGUCAAAGGACACCAGCAGCCAGACACAAAUGAACCAAUCAUUAUAAACAGCAGCUUGGAGACCAGAGAUCAACUGUUGGAGCAAUUCUUAGAAAAUGGAAGAUCCCUGACAACCUUCUUCCACCUGGAGCUCCAUGGAAGAUCUCACCUGGUGGUCACCAGGACCAACAGAGAAAAGUGAGGAACCAGCUCAGAAAAACAUGGAGGAGCUGGUCGAUGACCUGAAGAAAACUGUUACACUUGCAUUUGAAAGGAUUUGUUUUAGUUUGUGAGUAAAAGACCUGGGCUCACCUGGGCAAGCUGACAUACACCUGGAUGACGUCUUUGUCUCGUGGUUUGGCCCUCAGCAGCCAGGAUUCACCGCCGUCCUUCAGAGAGCUGCGGUUAUCUGGCACGCUGCCGUUCCGGUUUGUGAUGUCACUUUGGGAACCGCUGACCUCUUCCAGCUCAAAGUUCUGCGGAUCCCCAGGCAGGUAGAACGCCCUGAGAGCCGCCUCCUACAGGGCAGCACAAGUAGUGCAAUGAGGUGUCAGCGAAAACAUCCGAGUCAUGUGAUCGUUAGCAGAAAGGAGCAUUUCUCCUGUGAGUUCAAAGCACAAAGGUUGAUUCAUCAGGACUGGUCAAAACCUAAAAUACUGAAUCUGUUUUAACGUUCAGGAUGGUUGAUUUAAAACAAAAGGAUCAACACUGUAGGGCCUGCUUCCUGAGUGUGUGUGAAAGCGUGUGUGCAGGUGUGUGUGAAAGCGUGUGUGCA